rnacentral:rRNA from 1 species
AUUGAACGCUGGCGGCAGGCCUAACACAUGCAAGUCGAGCGAGCGGCGGCAGGGUGAGUAAUGCCUGGGAAUUGCCAAGUCGAGGGGGAUAACAGUUGGAAACGACUGCUAAUACUGCAUUCGAUUGGAUUGCCCAGGUGGGAUUAGCUAGUUGGUGAGGUGAUGGCUCACCAAGGCGACGAUACCUAGCUGGGCUGGGAGGAAGAUCAGCCACACUGGAACGGAGACACGGUCCAGACUCCUACGGGAGGCAGCAGGGGGGAAUAUUGCACAAUGGGGGAAAGCCUGAUGCAGCCAUGCCGCGUGGGUGAAGAAGGCCUUAGGGUUGUAAAGCACUUUCAGCGAGGAGGCGUUACUCGCAGAAGAAGCACCGGCUAACUCCGUGCCAGCAGCCGCGGUAAUAC